UAGACAGAGGAUGAAAUGCAGUAGUUCACCAACAUGUUAUGUUUCUAUGAACAACCAGAUGCAAACGUCCUGGCAUUCAUCCUGCCUGCUUGCUGUUUGUACCAUCUCCGUGGUAGCAACCAUCCAAGCUGCUGGAAGCACAGACUGAGCUCUAUGAGUCAAUUAUUUUAUAUACCUGGGAACGUGCUAGCCUUCCUGUCACUCUUUGAUGUCACUAUGUAGACAGUUUGCAGCCUAGGCAACAUGGGAAAAAGUGAAACACUUCACUCAGGGCGCAGAACAAUGGAAGUCCCUGGAAGGAAAGGCUUGCAAGAGAAAACCAAGUGGCUUCUGAGAUAUUCGAAAGUCCAGUUGUUUUCCCUUUUUAAAAAUUUUCAGAUGCUCUUUGAUGCCAUUUCAUAAAGCCUGUGAUUGGGCCAAAAGUCUUAGUUCACCAUGUACCACAAAUAGUGUACUCUAUAUAGCAUAUGCUUAACUAAGAAAAAAUAAAGAUUUAGAAAUAGAUCCCUAAAGCACUGGAAAUGGUUGGCCCUGAAGUGCUCCUAAGGUAACCGCAAGAUGAGGCAAAACAGGAUUGAGAUGAAAACCAAGCUCACCCACAUCCUACGUCAAUUAGCUAUUUUUUUUUCUGUGUAAACAAUGGGAGGGAGGUGGAUUGUAGCUUUUAUGGUAGAGGUUCCUCGGCACCUCCUGACGCCCCCAGGGGUCCCCCCUGCCACUGCCCUCAGCCC
rnacentral:lncRNA from 1 species